rnacentral:lncRNA from 1 species
ACACACAGCUAACAAGAGAAAAGAACACAUUUAUGGAGCCAAAGUUUUAUGUGACACAGAAGACCCAGAGACCCAGGAAAACCUUUUUAUGCUUCGAUUAGAUGAAGCAUGGGCAGCUGUGUAGAAAUGGGAACAAUCCAGUGGGAAGGCUGAGGGGACAGACCCAGCGAGGCUGCCCAGAGCCUUCUCAGCACCCGCUGCAAAGCUCCUUCCUCCCUCCCAUGCGUGGGGGCAGGACCCUGGGAAGGAAGGCCUCCAAGGGAAGAGGGACAGAGUGACCUUCUAGGUUCUACGGCCUGCUUUGGGAGAGACGAGUUCUAUUUUCUAUGACUCACCAUGGGGAAAAGGAAUUCUGGUUUCCGUGAUUCACACGGGGGAGAAAAUGGGGCAGGAAAUAGAAGGGAAGGAGAAGGUCAGAGACGCUUUGCUUGUGAGGCCCUUAAUGGCCCCAGACCCAAGUACUCAGCACGCCAAGGUCACAUGUGGAGCCCCAGCAGCAAGCAGGAGGCACUCGGUGCCUGACGGAAUCGACACGCAAUCCUCCCCCAACAGAGACAACACCCCAGGCCUGAAAGCAGCUCCGUGUCCAGCCAUGAAACAUAAACAGGCAACAUGGAGGGAGAAGACAGCGAGGGUGAGGGUCAGCAGGAGCCACUGGCAGCAGGAACUCCGGGUGCUGGAAUUCCCAGACGAUAAACCAGCUGUGCUCGCUAUGUUUUUGGAAACAAAAGGCAAUCACAAAUAGAAAUGCUGGAAGAAGUGGGGUCAGCAGUAAUAAUAUUUCUGAAAUCACCAAAAUUCUGCCAGGAAAAGAUCUGGAGAGCCUGCGAGGCCAAGGCUAAGAUCUCCAGUGAGGGUGAGACUAAGCUGAGGACCCGCAGAUGACCGCUGCAAUGGCCGUCCGCGUCAGCCAGGACAGGCUGCGUUAGGCUGCAUAACAAAUGGCCCCACAUAAUGACAUCCCGUGCACGCUCCACCCCACCAAGGACUCUGCUCCCCACCCUCAUGCAGACGCCCAGAUGAAGUCGCACCUCGACAGGCGUCUCCAUGGCCACUGAGGCGAAAGAAGGAGCUCCACGGGAAGACUCAGCCCUGCUGUCUGCCCAGAGGGGAGCCGAAGGUAUCUAGUGAACAGCACUGAGGCACACCACAUCCAGGCACCUGCGAGGUACUUGGAAGCCUGCCCUUCCUGCAAGCAAAGCACGCCCGCUUCCUCCAAGGCAACCAUCCCGGCAUCCUCCAGCUACGUGAAGGUCAAACGUACACAAGUUGCCGCAUCCAUCCCAAGCUGGAGGGCUCUGAGUUAAAAAGAUGAAGCGUUUGCUGCCCACGCCCCUGGUGUCGCAGGCGUCCUUGUGAAGAGACCACCAACCAGGCUUUGUGUGAUCAAUAAAGCUUUUUAAUCACC